UGAGCAGAAACAGAUUGUUUCACGGGAAGGAAACCCAUGUGUGCGAGGCAGAUAAAGGGCGAAGAGAAAACAGCUCUGAGCGACUGUCGCCCACUAAAAUAAUAAUAAUAAAUAUAUAUAAAAAAUAACCUGUCUCUCUCUGAGCGGAAUUGAAUAAAGUAAAUUGAAGUAAAGGACUAACACGCGAGAUCUACGGCAUCAGUAUCCACAGCACUUCACUUUGAACAAGUAACAGAACGUAAUUUGCAGUCUUCCGCCAUGGCUACAAAUAAUGGUUACCCAAUUGACCUCCAACCACAGAAAAACGCAAUUCAUCCCGCCCCUCCUUAUAACCAGGGACCAGCUAUACCAGGCCAA